UUAAUAAUGGUAUGCAUUUCUCUUCUGUUUAACUUCAAUAGGAUGUGCUUCUCCUAAAUCAGAAAAAGAAGCGCAUCCGAAGAAACCAUUUCUGGUUCUCCUCACCUCCCAACCCCAGAUAAUGCCACUCAUAUACUCAUUUUUCCCUCUUAAACUGAAUGUCUUUGUUGAUCAAGUCAGGUACUCAUGUCAGUACCAAAAACAACUGU
rnacentral:lncRNA from 7 species